UCAAAAGAGAGAACUGCCCAAACUGUGCC
rnacentral:piRNA from 1 species